GUGGGGAAUCUUGCGCAAUGGGCGAAAGCCUGACGCAGCCAUGCCGCGUGAAUGAUGAACGUCUUAGGAUUGUAAAAUUCUUUCACCGGGGACGAUAAUGACGGUACCCGGAGAAGAAGCUCCGGCUAACUUCGUGCCAGCAGCCGCGGUAAUACGAAGGGGGCUAGCGUUGCUCGGAAUUACUGGGCGUAAAGGGCGCGUAGGCGGACAGCUUAGUCAGAGGUGAAAGCCCAGGGCUCAACCUUGGAAUUGCCUUUGAUACUGGCUGUCUUGAGUUUGGGAGAGGUGAGUGGAACUCCGAGUGUAGAGGUGAAAUUCGUAGAUAUUCGGAAGAACACCAGUGGCGAAGGCGACUCACUGGCCCAAUACUGACGCUGAGGCGCGAAAGCGUGGGGAGCAAACAGGAUUAGAUACCCUAGUAGUCC
rnacentral:rRNA from 1 species